CAGUCGCCGCGGGAAUACAGAGGGUGCGAGCGUUAAUCGGAUUUACUGGGCGUAAAGCGUGCGUAGGCGGCUAAUUGAGUCGGAUGUGAAAUCCCCGAGCUUAACUUGGGAAUUGCAUUCGAUACUGGUUAGCUAGAGUGUGGGAGAGGAUGGUAGAAUUCCAGGUGUAGCGGUGAAAUGCGUAGAGAUCUGGAGGAAUACCGAUGGCGAAGGCAGCCAUCUGGCCUAACACUGACGCUGAGGUACGAAAGCAUGGGGAGCAAACAGGAUUAGAGACCCCUGUAGUCCCUGUCUCUUAUAC
rnacentral:rRNA from 1 species